AUACGUAGGUGGCAAGCGUUGUCCGGAAUUAUUGGGCGUAAAGCGCGCGCAGGUGGUUCCUUAAGUCUGAUGUGAAAGCCCCCGGCUCAACCGGGGAGGGUCAUUGGAAACUGGGGAACUUGAGUGCAGAAGAGGAUAGUGGAAUUCCAAGUGUAGCGGUGAAAUGCGUAGAGAUUUGGAGGAACACCAGUGGCGAAGGCGAUUGUCUUGUCUGUAACUGACACUUAGGCGCGAAAGCGUGAGGAGCAAACAGGAUUAGAUACCCUGGUAGUCCACGCCGUAAACGAUGAGUGCUAAGUGUUAGGGGGUGUCCGCCCCUUAGUGCUGCAGCUAACGCAUUAAGCACUCCGCCUGGGGAGUACGGUCGCAAGACUGAAACUCAAAGGAAUUGACGGG
rnacentral:rRNA from 1 species